UACGUAGGGUGCGAGCGUUGUCCGGAAUUAUUGGGCGUAAAGAGCUCGUAGGCGGUGUGUCACGUCGGCCGUGAAAACCUGGGGCUUAACUCUGGGCGUGCGGUCGAUACGGGCAUCACUAGAGUUCGGCAGGGGAGACUGGAAUUCCUGGUGUAGCGGUGAAAUGCGCAGAUAUCAGGAGGAACACCUGCGGCGAAGGCGGGUUGCUGGGCUGAUACUGACGCUGAGGCGCGAAAGCCAGGGGAGCGAACGGG
rnacentral:rRNA from 1 species